rnacentral:rRNA from 1 species
AUUGAACGCUGGCGGCAGGCCUAACACAUGCAAGUCGAGCGGGGUUUUCGGACCUAGCGGCGGACGGGUGAGUAAUGCGUAGGAAGCUGCCCGAUAGAGGGGGAUACCAGUUGGAAACGACUGUUAAUACCGCAUAAUGUCUACGGACCAAAGUGUGGGACCUUCGGGCCACAUGCUAUCGGAUGCGCCUACGUGGGAUUAGCUGGUUGGUGAGGGAAUGGCUCACCAAGGCGACGAUCUCUAGCUGGUUUGAGAGGAUGAUCAGCCACACUGGAACUGAGACGCGGUCCAGACUCAUACGGGAGGCAGCAGUGGGGAAUAUUGGACAAUGGGCGCAAGCCUGAUCCAGCCAUGCCGCGUGUGUGAAGAAGGCCUUCGGGUUGUAAAGCACUUUCAGCGAGGAGGAAGGGUGGUGUGUUAAUAGCACAUCAUUUUGACGUUACUCGCAGAAGAAGCACCGGCUAACUCUGUGCCAGCCGCCGCAGUAAGAC